rnacentral:lncRNA from 1 species
UUUUCUCUUUUUGCUUUUCCUAUGUUAUUAUUAUAGGUUUUUUUAUAAUGAGUUAUGUUAUUACUUGAUGGAAAUGGUAUUGCAAACUCUAUUGUAAAUUUGAAUUAGAUGCUUCGGGAGUGAAAGUUUGUAAUUUAAAUUUGACUUAGCAAUUGCACCGGAAAUAGCUUAACGCAUCUGUUAAGUUUGUAAUUCAAUUUAAUGUGAACCAUCAAAACAUACCUACUGUAACCAUAUUUUAU